UGUUCCUAGCCAGUGCGCUUACGAUAGGCAUUCACCCCCCCCCCCCUGAAAAUAUUUAAAAUGGUGGACGUCCAGGGGGUGCAUACCUCUUUUGUAGAAGGAAAUUUCAAGCGAAAAUUUACAUGCUUUUAGACCCAACCGGAAGCCCCAACACGAUUUUAGACCCAACCGGAAGCCCCUGCGAAAAAUGAAACCAUAAAGACCCCCCUCGGCAGGAAUCGAACUUGUUACCCCGCGAUUCCGGGGUAGCGCUCUGACCACACUGAGUUAUACGCCUGUAUUCUAAAAGCUCACUCACACUCAAAGAGUGGAGGUUCAAUCUGAACUUCCCUUGAGUGUCAGUGCUGUUUUUGAAUAGCUGGUGGGUUAGGCCAAAAAAAAAUAUGUGGGUUUCCGGUUUCUUCUUAUAAAAACUUAGGUAGGGUAGGUCGGUUUUAACUUUUUUUUUAAACUUUUUUUU